rnacentral:lncRNA from 1 species
GCGAGUGACUCUGGGCAAGUCCCCAGCCUCUCUGGGACGCCUGGUUUCCAUGGUGAAGUGGAGGGAGCACCAUGGGGUCAGCAGGAGUUUUGCUGUCUCACCUUUCAUAGAUCAGUGCUUGCCUGGGAUUAAUUUUCUAAGUAUGGUGUGAGGUAGGGGUCAAGAUUCACCUUGGUCCCAAGUGUUGAAAUCCUGACUCCGCCCAAGAUAGUUCUAGGGGGUGAGGCCUUGGGAGAUGAUUGGAUUAUGAGGAAGCAGCCCCACAAAGAGCCAGGUGACUGAGCUGCCUCUUCCACCACAUGAGGACACCUGAAAGCUCCAUCAAUAAAGUAAGAUGUGGAUUCUCAUCAGACAUGGAAUCUGCUUCGCUCUGAUCUUGGACUUCCCAGCCUCCAAAUCUGUGAGAAAUACCCGCUCCUUGAAAAUUUAUGUUGUUAAUUAUAUUUUCAUUGCAGUAGCCCAAAUGGACUAUAACAAAAAUAUACAUACUUUUCUUCUCCAAAUGUUGACCUGACUGGACCAGUCAACUAGACAAUAAAGAACACCACUAAGAAUUGUUAAGCUGAA